GGGAUGGUGGCAGAGCGCUGACAGUGACCAGGGGAACGGCCUCUCGUCCUGACCAUAGUGCACUUUGCCACAGCAGCAGCUGCAGGGCUAGGAGCAAACAGACGGGUCUGAGGCACUUGUUAUCCGGCCUCUCUCCAUUCCACACCCAGGGCAGCCACACCCAGGCCUGAAUCGCUGCAGGGUGUUGGAUCUGGAUCCGAGUUGUCCAACAAGGCUGGUGAAACCCUGGAGGGGAUAGCAAGGAACUCAGACCCUGGGGAAGAAUGGGUGCUCAGAUCAAGACUGCUUCUGUCUCUCCAUCCUCUGGCAGACGUGCUUGGGGAGCCCCCUCUGCCCUUCAUUUGUGAUUCUCAAGUCACCUAUACCUGGGACAAACAUCCCGAGAGAAGAAAGAACCUGUCCUCUUUUCAGACCCAUAAGCUUCCUGGUGGCUGCCUCCUGCUUUUCUGGGAGCCCUCCACAGCACCCUAGGUAGGGUCUUGCUGUCUACGCCUGCCCCACAUUUGGAUAAAAAUAAAUUGGUCCAGCAUUCAGGCCGUUCUGUCCCAGGCUGAUUAGCUGGGAACUCCCCAAUACCCCCCAUUAUGACUCAUUUCUUUAAGCCCCUGGAUCCUGGCAGAGAGGCCAGAGGAAACCGGAUGUCUGUCUUGAAUGAAUCAAGACCCUCUGGGGCUCCUGGCUCACCUGACCUUGCCUUUCUGCUUCCCUUGGCACAUUACCUCGAUGUCGUGGAGUCUGGGGCAUCUGGAGGGCGUCGGAGGCUGGGUCAUGGAGUGUCCCGACGAUCUCUGCUCAUUAUGUAGCAGUGGUGUGAGCUGGCUUGAGUCGAUGCAUGCUGAGGCUCGGGACUGAACCCAGGACCUCUGGCAUGGUAAACAGGCACUCUACAUCCCUGGCUUAAUAAAAAAAAAAAUACAUGUCUAUUAAUGUUUUCCUUCUAUACAUACAUGUGCAUGUGUUCUGUGUCGGGGAGGGCAUUGGAUCCCUUGGGAUCGUCCUUGUGCAUGGUGCUGAGCCAGGUCCUCUGCAAGAGCAACACGCUCUGCUCUCUUAACCGCUGAGCCAUCUUCCUCGCCUUCUCUGUGGUCUUUAAGUGAGCACCUUUUCUGUUUCACGUUAUACAAUCUGAGCCUGUGGUGCAGCUGCAUGUACAGCAAGCAGGGCGGCCAACGGCUUCCUCUCCUGCCCAGUAUCCAGGGUCAUGCCCUGGUAAUGCCCGCUAAGUACCACAGGCUCAUGGUUACCACCCGAUCCAAGUGAACCCCCUCUUGGUUCGGUGAGUUUCGGACUUCGGUCCAGACGGUUGAGUGCUUUGCUGUGAUGCUCUGAUUCUCCCUCUUCUUGAAUCUGUGAGCCAUCUUUUUUGGUCAACCUCCUUGCUAUCUUAAAUUUUAAGGAAGGCCAGACUGGUCUGUGUGGUGAGUUCCCAGCUAGCCAUGCAC